UACAGAGGGUGCGAGCGUUAAUCGGAAUUACUGGGCGUAAAGCGUGCGUAGACGGUUAUUUAAGUCGGGUGUGAAAGCCCCGGGCUCAACCUGGGAAUUGCAUUCGAGACUGAAUAGCUAGGGUACGGUAGAGGGAAGUGGAAUUUCCGGUGUAGCGGUGAAAUGCGUAGAUAUCGGAAGGAACAUCAGUGGCGAAGGCGGCGACCUGGACAGUUACUGACACUCAACUACGAAAGCGUGGGGAGCAAACAGG
rnacentral:rRNA from 1 species